rnacentral:rRNA from 1 species
UACGUAGGGUGCAAGCGUUAAUCGGAAUUACUGGGCGUAAAGCGUGCGCAGGCGGUGAUGUAAGACAGUUGUGAAAUCCCCGGGCUCAACCUGGGAACUGCCUUUGUGACUGCAAGGCUUGAGUGCGGCAGAGGGGGAUGGAAUUCCGCGUGUAGCAGUGAAAUGCGUAGAUAUGCGGAGGAACACCGAUGGCGAAGGCAAUCCCCUGGGCCUGCACUGACGCUCAUGCACGAAAGCGUGGGGAGCAAACAGG